AUGCUGGCCUGCAUCGCGUGCGUCAACAAGGAAGAAGGCGGCGGCGGCCGGGAGAGGGAGCGGGACGGCGCCGGCGGCGACAGGGACACGCCGACAUGCAGGGACCCCGUCAAGUCGCUCACCUCCCAGCUCAAGGACAUGGUGCUGAAGCUGUCGGGAGGCACGCAGAGGCAGGGGGUGCCGAAGCGGGGCGGCUCGCCGCCGCCGAGGGGCCGGACGACGUCCCUGUACCGGAGCGGCUACUACCGGCCGGGCGUGGUGCAGGACGACAUGGCGGUGCCCCCGGCCACGUACCUGGGCCACGGCGCCGGGGGCGGGGGCGGCACGGCGGCGUCGAGCGCGAGCUCCACGCCGGCGUGGGAGCGGCCGCCCAACGGGGGCGGAGGCCCGGGCGGCGAGGCGGCGGUGCGGGAGUGGGUGGCGCAGGUGGAGCCCGGGGUGCAGAUCACGUUCGUGUCGCUGGCGGGCGGCGCCGGCAACGACCUGAAGCGCAUCCGGUUCAGCCGGGAGAUGUACGACAAGUGGCAGGCGCAGCGGUGGUGGGGCGACAACAACGAGCGCAUCAUGGAGCUCUACAACGUCCGCCGCUUCAGCCGCCAGGUGCUCCCCGACGCGCCCCGGGACGACGACGGCGAGCAGAGGGAGUCGUUCUACUCGCAGUCGCAGGUGGGCUCCACGAUGGGGAGCCCGGCGGCGACGCCGUCGCCGGCGCCGGAGAGCAUCGCCUGGGGCGCGGCCUUCGCCCGCCCGCAGCCUUCCGCAGCGGCCGCCGGCCCAGGCGGCGCCGGCGCGGCGCGGCAGCACAGCUUCCGCGGCCCGCUGUCCCCGCCGCCGCCGUCGUCGUCCAACCCGUCGGAGCGCGCCUGGCAGCAGCAGCAGCCACACCCGCAGCGCCAGAACGAGCCCGACCUCCCGGAGCCGGCGAGGACGACCACCUCGUCCCUGCCGGACGACGUGUCCAUCAGCAACGCCAGCGAGCUGGAGGUGACGGAGUGGGUGAUCCAGGACGAGCCCGGCGUGUACAUCACCGUCCGCGAGCUCGCCGACGGCGCCCGCGAGCUCCGGCGCGUCCGCUUCAGCCGUGAGAAGUUUGCGGAGCUGAACGCCAAGCUGUGGUGGGAGGAGAACAAGGAGAGGAUACACGCGCAGUACCUCUGA
rnacentral:rRNA from 1 species